AUUUAACUGACGAGUUCCAAAUAGGACGAAGUGACGCACUUCAAACUAGAU
rfam:Schistosoma mattheei strain Denwood, Zambia genome assembly, scaffold: SMTD_contig0003473